rnacentral:rRNA from 1 species
CGAGGGGAGCUAGCGUUGUUCGGAAUUACUGGGCGUAAAGGGCGCGUAGGCGGUUUUGUAAGUCAGAUGUGAAAGCCCCGGGCUUAACCUGGGAGGUGCAUUUGAAACUGCAAGGCUUGAGAUCGAGAGAGGAAAGUGGAAUUACGAGUGUAGAGGUGAAAUUCGUAGAUAUUCGUAAGAACACCAGUGGCGAAGGCGACUUUCUGGCUCGAUACUGACGCUAAGGCGCGAAAGCGUGGGGAGCAAACAGGAUUAGAUACCCUGGUAGUCCACGCUGUAAACGAUGAGUGCUAGAUGUUGGUGGGGAGACCCAUCAGUGUCGCAGCUAACGCAUUAAGCACUCCGCCUGGGGAGUACGGUCGCAAGAUUA